GAUGAACGCUAGCGAUAGGCCUAACACAUGCAAGUCGAGGGGCAUCACAUGAAGUAGCAAUACGGAUGGUGGCGACCGGCGCACGGGUGAGUAACACGUAUGCAACCUGCCUUCAACAAGGGGAUAACCCGUUGAAAGACGGACUAAUACCCUAUAACACAGGGGUCCCGCAUGGGAAUAUUUGUUAAAGGACAACCGGUUGAAGAUGGGCAUGCGUUCCAUUAGCUAGUUGGCGGGGUAACGGCCCACCAAGGCAACGAUGGAUAGGGGAACUGAGAGGUUUAUCCCCCACACUGGUACUGAGACACGGACCAGACUCCUACGGGAGGCAGCAGUGAGGAAUAUUGGUCAAUGGACGCAAGUCUGAACCAGCCACGUCGCGUGAAGGAAGACGGCCCUACGGGUUGUAAACUUCUUUUAUACGGGAAUAAAGUGCCCCACGCGUGGGGUUUUGCAUGUCCGUA
rnacentral:rRNA from 1 species